rnacentral:rRNA from 1 species
UACGGAGGGUGCAAGCGUUAUCCGGAUUCACUGGGUUUAAAGGGUGCGUAGGUGGGCUGGUAAGUCAGUGGUGAAAUCUCCGGGCUUAACUCGGAAACUGCCAUUGAUACUAGCAGUCUUGAAUACCGUGGAGGUCAGUAGAAUAUGUCAUGUAGCGGUGAAAUGCUUAGAUACGACAUAGAAUACCAAUUGCGAAGGCAGCUGGCUACACGAAUAUUGACACUCAGGCACGAAAGCGUGGGGAUCAAACAGG